AUUGAACGCUGGCGGCAGGCUUGACACAUGCAAGUCGAACGGUAACGGGAAGGAAGCUUGCUUUCUUUGCCGACGAGUGGCGGACGGGUGAGUAAUGCUUGGGAAUCUGUCUUAGGGAGGGGGAUAACGACGGGAAACUGUCGCUAAUACCGCGUAAUGUCUAAGGACGAAAGGAUGGGACCUUCGGGCCACCUGCCGUAAGAUGAGCCCAAGUGGGAUUAGGUAGUUGGUGAGGUAAGGGCUCACCAAGCCGACGAUCUCUAGCUGGUCUGAGAGGAUGACCAGCCACACUGGAACUGAGACACGGUCCAGACUCCUACGGGAGGCAGCAGUGGGGAAUAUUGCGCAAUGGGGGCAACCCUGACGCAGCCAUGCCGCGUGAAUGAAGAAGGCCUUCGGGUUGUAAAGUUCUUUCGGUGAUGAGGAAGGUGGGAU
rnacentral:rRNA from 1 species